rnacentral:rRNA from 1 species
UACGUAGGGUGCGAGCGUUAAUCGGAAUUACUGGGCGUAAAGCGUGCGCAGGCGGUUCGCUGUGUCCGAUGUGAAAGCCCCGGGCUUAACCUGGGAAUGGCAUUGGAAACUGGCGGGCUUGAGUGUGGCAGAGGAGUGUGGAAUUCCCGGUGUAGCAGUGAAAUGCGUAGAGAUCGGGAGGAACACCAGUGGCGAAGGCGGCUACCUGGACCAGCAUUGACACUCAAGCACGAAAGCGUGGGGAGCAAACAGG